rnacentral:rRNA from 1 species
GAUGAACGCUGGCGGCGUGCCUAAUACAUGCAAGUCGAGCGAACGGACGAGAAGCUUGCUUCUCUGAUGUUAGCGGCGGACGGGUGAGUAACACGUGGAUAACCUACCUAUAAGACUGGGAUAACUUCGGGAAACCGGAUCUAAUACCGGAUGAUAUUUUGAACCGCAUGGUUCAAAAGUGAAAGACGGUCUUGCUGUCACUUAUAGAUGGAUCCGCGCUGCAUUAGCUAGUUGGUAAGGUAACGGCUUACCAAGGCAACGAUGCAUAGCCGACCUGAGAGGGUGAUCGGCCACACUGGAACUGGACCAGCGACAGUGCUCCUACGGAAGGCAGCAGAAGGGAAUCUUCCGCAAUGGGGGAAAGCAUGACGGAACAGGGCGGCGGGAGUGGUGAAGGUGUUCGGUUCGUAAAACUCUGUUAUUGGGGAAAAACAGAUUUGGAAGUAACUGUGCACAGCUUGACGGUAACUAAUAAAAAAGCACCGGCUAACUACGUG